UCGAGUUUUGACUGGGUUGUAGCUGGCCUUCCGAGGCAUGUGCACGCCCUGCUCAUCCACUCUACACCUGUGCACUUACUGUGGGUUUCAAACGUCGUAAAGCGGGUCUCUUCACCGAGCUUGUAGAGCGGCGUCUGUGCCUGCGUUUAUCACAAACUCUAUAAAGUAUCAGAAUGUGUAUUGCGAUGUAACGCAUCUAUAUA
rnacentral:misc_RNA from 1 species